rnacentral:rRNA from 1 species
AGAACGAACGCUGGCGGCAUGCCUAACACAUGCAAGUCGAACGCGUGUAGCGAUACACGAGUGGCGGACGGGUGAGUAACGCGUGGGAACCUGCCCUGGAGUGUGGGAUAACCGAGGGAAACUUCGGCUAAUACCGCAUACGACCUGAGGGUGAAAGAUUUAUCGCUCUAGGAGGGGCCCGCGUCGGAUUAGCUAGUUGGUGGGGUAAAGGCCUACCAAGGCAGUGAUCCGUAGCUGGUCUGAGAGGAUGAUCAGCCACACUGGGACUGAGACACGGCCCAGACUCCUACGGGAGGCAGCAGUGGGGAAUAUUGGACAAUGGGGGCAACCCUGAUCCAGCAAUGCCGCGUGAGUGAUGAAGGCCUUAGGGUUGUAAAGCUCUUUCGCCCGCGACGAUGAUGACGGUAGCGGGAGAAGAGCCCGGCUAACUUCGCGCCAGCAGCCGC